CCACCCCUCAGGCCCGGCCUGGUGUUGGGAGCCUGCCAACGCGGCAGCUCCCGAAAGACAGCGGCGGUACAGCCCCGCGCGCCCUGGCGAAGUAAUUUCACGCCGCCUGGGACGCCGGGGAGCGCCUGCCGGAAAACAAACCACUUCUAA
rnacentral:misc_RNA from 1 species